rnacentral:rRNA from 1 species
GCAGAACGCGAAGAACCUUACCUACUCUUGACAUCCAGAUAACCUCGUAGAGAUAUGAGGGUGCCUUCGGGAAAUCUGAGACAGGUGCUGCAUGGCUGUCGUCAGCUCGUGUCGUGAGAUGUUGGGUUAAGUCCCGUAACGAGCGCAACCCUUGUCCUUAGUUGCCAUCAUUAAGUUGGGAACUCUAAGGAGACUGCCGGUGACAAACCGGAGGAAGGCGGGGACGACGUCAAGUCAUCAUGGCCCUUACGAGUAGGGCUACACACGUGCUACAAUGGUACGUACAGAGGGAGGCAAGCUGGCGACAGUGAGCGGAUCUCUUAAAGCGUAUCGUAGUCCGGAUCGCAGUCUGCAACUCGACUGCGUGAAGUCGGAAUCGCUAGUAAUCGCAAAUCAGAAUGUUGCGGUGAAUACGUUCCCGGGUCUUGUACACACCG